UUGCUGCUCGGCGGCGCUCGGCGGGCUCUGCGGCAGGCUUCUGGAGGAGAUGCGGGACUUUCUCUUUUGAAGUUUCUUCUUUUUGGGCCGCAGCGUCGGACAUGUCAUCGUUGUUAUCUUCUUUCUCAUCGUCACUGCUCAGCACAUAGAUGAACUCCGGCGGAGAUAUAUUUGCAGCCGGGACAGCUGCAAACAGACAAAACCCAGGCAUCAGUGUGAACCUUCAACAGGAAAACAUUGUUGGAACUAACUUUUUGCAGGGACCACAAGCCGCAUCAUGGGAGAGGACAAGCUGUUGUUUUUGGGAUGUGGGAGGAAAACGGAGUGCCCGGAGAAAACCCACGCAGGCACGGAGACAACAUGCAAACUCCACACAGGGAGGGCCGGAGGUGGAAUCAAACCUGCACCCUCUGAGUUGUGAGGCGGACGUGCCACGAGCCGCCUUGUUUCCAUAAAUAUUCUCAAAAUUAUUUUAUUUCUGUGACUGAUGACAAAAUGAAAAGGUAGCCCCAAAAG